GAUAAUUUGGAGUGACCUCAUCCAGAAAAUAAUUUUCUUUUCACUUAUUGGACUUGGAGUUUUAGGAAACAUCAUCUUAUUUGUGAGACAUGUAUGUACUUUCAUCAUGGGUCCUGAGAACAAAAAUAUAGAUGUUAUUCUCAUCCACUUGGCUUUUGUAAACACAAUCAUUAUUUAUUGCAUAGGGGUCAGAGACAUAGCCACAAUUUUUUACAUCAGAAACUUCCUAGGUGAUGUUGGUUGUAAAACUAUAAUUUAUCUAGAAAGGGUUGCCUGUGGCCUCUCCAUCUGCACCACCUGUCUCCUCAGCAUGGUCCAGGCUGUCACCAUCAGUCCCAGGACCACACUGUGGAGAAAGCUCAAACCACAGACAGCAUGGCAUGUUAUUGCCUUUCUCCUCCUCUUUUGGAUCUUUAAUUCCCUCAUAAGCUCCAAUUUGCUGCACUAUAUCACAGUAGGCAGUAGCAUGAACAGUUCUGAAGUUGGAAUGUUUACUGGAUAUUGUUAUAAGUUACCAUCCAGGCACACAGUUAAGUGGCUGUUCCUCUCUCUCAUGACUCUCCGUGAUGUCAUUUUCCAGGGUCUCAUGGGCUGGAGCAGUGGGUCCAUGGCUCUCCAUCUGUAUAAGCAUCACAAGCGUGUCCUCUAUCUUCACAGCUCCAGGUCUGCAAACAAUUCUAGGCCAGAAAUCAGAGCUACCCAGAGGGUUCUCACUCUCAUGACCUGUUUCCUUUUCUUUUAUUGGUCAGAUUUUAUUUUCUCCUUCUACACAGGUUCCACAGUGACACACGACUCCACAAUACUAAAUAUUAAAGCAUUUUAGUACUUAAUUAUGCUGGUCUCAGCCCCUUUGUCCUGAUCACUGGGAAUGUCCACGUUGCUAAGCCCUGCUGUGUCCCCUGA
rnacentral:lncRNA from 1 species